rnacentral:tRNA from 1 species
GGAGCGUUACUCAAGUUGGCUGAAGAGGCGGGUUUGCUAAACCUGUAGGGGGGCUAUGCUCUCGCGAGAGUUCGAAUCUCUCACGCUCCGCCA